UCCCAGAGAGUCUGAGGGGAGAAUGUCUGGUUGGCUCUCUGACUCGUGGGCUGUCAGUGUAGUGUCAGAGACCACAGGCCGAGGGGACUGACCAUUGUGGGGCUGCCCACUUCCCAGACAGUCUGCCCGCGCAUUCCACUACCAGGUCAGAACUCCAAAAUUACUCAAUCAGGAGGCUCAAACCACCACCCUAAUAGGCUCAUCCGGUGGGACCCUGUGACAGUAUGGAUUGGAAGGCAGGGAGGAAGACAGACUGGAGCAAACACUCUGUGCACAUCCUCUAACCAGAAGUUGUGCCAGGCGCAAGGGCAGAGAGACAAGCCAGGUUCAGCCCCUGCCCCCAGGGCCUCACAGUAGAGCGAAGGAGGCAGCCAGCCCCUGCAGCAGUUAGGACCACAAGCAGGGUGCUUUGGUUGUCAGCCAGGGAAACCUUUGGCUAAGUUCAGGAGAACAGGAUCUUACUGGAAGGACUUUGGGUAGCUCAGUGCUCCCUGGGAAGGCCAGCGCACCUGGCUGGAAAUGGACAGUCCACGGCAUCAGGAGCUGCUGACCGUCCCACUGAGGCUGCCCCAGAACGUGUGUACUCAAGAUUCCAGCGCUCCAGCCUGGUGUGGGACUGGCCCUGUGUGGGCACCAUGCGCUCACCCCCUAGACAGAGGACCACAGGGCACUCUAACAACACAAGAAGAUGGCCCACAGCUGGGGGAGGGUCACCUCCCCCACCUUCAGUGGGUGUCACUUAAGGGGAAAUGGUCCACACAGGGCCUGCUGGAGUUCUUAGAAUCGUUCAGCUGCUGGGGUAUUUGGGAUAUGUGGCUAAGUCACGCCCUGGGGCUGUCAGUCCUGGGUCCCUGGCUCCCAAGCACCCUGGCAUUCAUUCUUCUGCCCUCAUCUGGCACCCAGUUAAUGUCUCUGCUCAACCUGGAAACAUUUUCUUAACGACAAAAAAAAUAAAAUCAUAAGUUAAAAAUCUCGAGCAGUAAAACAGCAGAUGACGUUGUGUGGGCAGCUGCCCAGAGGACACAGAACGCACGUCUCCUGAGCGGGUGGCCUUAUAAGGACAGGUUCAGGAGGAGAAUGGGCAGGAGGGAGGGCCACCCACAAGGAGAGUAGGAGCCUGGGGUAGGGGUGGGUGCCCCACCACUGGGCUGAGUGUGGAGCCAGCAGGGUGCCUGGCCAGGACCUGACUCCACAGAGGGACUUGGCUGCACACAAGCGCCAGAGGCCCUUGUGGGCCAAAGCCUGCCCGUCCCUCCGCCUUCACUGUGUCACUGCCAGCACAGGUACUGACCUGCUCUCAGCCAGCUGCCACGCAAACCCACCUGGCAGCCUCGCCUGGGGAACCCCCUCCCUCCAGGGCAGGGCCAUUUCCCAUCCUUCAUCCCACCUUCCCCCAUUCCUGGGCCCAGCAGGCCUAGCACCAGCUGUCAUGAUGUGCAGUAAAGGUUUGUGGGGUGACAGAAUUAGGAAAUGAAGGGUUCUCUGGUGGGAGUUUUGGCUUAUCACCUGGGCUAUAGCACCUGGAACUCAGGGCAGCGUCUUCUCUCCUCAGAGGGCCCAACGUGGGGCUGAGGAGGUGGGUAGGGCUGGGCAGUCAGUUUUUGCCCUGCCCAGGAUCACCUUUGUCCCCAGUGUGAAGACACGCAUACCAUCAACUUUCUCCUGAUAGGGUGGAAGAUUUUCACUCCCCCGAGAUCAAAGAGUGUGUGUGUGUGACAGAAUGUGUGUGUUUCUGGGAGAGUCCUGAUUGUCUGCACUUUUCUGACCCCAGCAUCACUAGGAUUAAAGACCUGGCCCUUGGGAUCUGAGGGUGAGCAGAGGAGUGCCCCAGGAGGUCCCAUACUGAGGGAAGGACUCUGGAAGCCUCCCCAAACCCUCAUUUGGAAAGAUCCUUCCCUGAGCUUCCUAAAGCCCCACGUUCCUCUCCGGGCGAAUCUUGCAUAGACACAGAAUGGAUGGUCAUUUGAGGAGAGAUGAGAAGGUCACGCCUUCCAUUUGACAGCUUGCACUGUACC